GUAAUAAUGUCAAGCUUUGAACGGAAAGAGAUAAUGUUGUACACAUAAAAUGUCACUACCCACAGGCUGGCCCCACCAUUGACACUUUACUCUGGAGUUGAGGGAUGUAACCUCUCCAAGUGAAUCACCACAAACCAAAAAACCAAAUGAAGUAAAAACACAAAUAAAACAAAAUAAAAAUGUGCGUCUUCCAUUUUUAAAAAAGGCCCUAUGACAUUACUUCUACCGUCAUUAUUUUGGUCGCAAUCGACCUACAGGAAAUAACCAGCGAAGCACGGGGGAGACUAAUAUGGUAGUAUUGCCCUGAAGGAUAGCAACGACUUUUCGGCCACACCCAUGGCACCAAGCACAAUCCAGAGUAUACGGGAAAUGCUGGGCAAUUGACUCCUUCAGUUACACGCUCCACCACCACAAGUCGCUCAAGAUGUGUGACAUAU